rnacentral:rRNA from 1 species
UAGAGUUUGAUCCUGGCUCAGAAUCAACGCUGGCGGCGUGCCUAACACAUGCAAGUCGAACGCGAAAGGGGAGCAAUCCCUGAGUAGAGUGGCAAACGGGUGAGUAACACGUGGGUGAUCUGCCUUCGAGUGGGGGAUAACGUCCCGAAAGGGACGCUAAUACCGCAUAACAUCCUGCUUUUAGAGAGGUGGAGAUCAAAGCUGGGUCGCAAGGCCUGGCGCUUGAAGAGGAGCCCGCGCCUGAUUAGCUAGUUGGUGGGGUAAUGGCUCACCAAGGCGACGAUCAGUAUCCGGCCUGAGAGGGCGGACGGACACACUGGGACUGAGACACGGCCCAGACUCCUACGGGAGGCAGCAGUGGGGAAUUGUUCGCAAUGGGCGCAAGCCUGACGACGCAACGCCGCGUGGAGGAUGAAGAUCUUCGGGUCGUAAACUCCUGUCGAGCGGGACGAAUGUCUCGCGGUCUAAUACAUCGCGAGAGUGACGGUACCGCUAAAGGAAGCCCCGGCUAACUCCGUGCCAGCAGCCGCGGUAAUACGGGGGGGGCAAGCGUUGUUCGGAAUUACUGGGCGUAAAGGGCUCGUAGGUGGCCAACUAAGUCAGACGUGAAAUCCCCAGGCUCAACUUGGGAACUGCGUCUGAUACUGGAUGGCUUGAAUUCGGGAGAGGGAUGCAGAAUUCCAGGUGUAGCGGUGAAAUGCGUAGAUAUCUGGAGGAAUACCGGUGGCGAAGGCGGCAUCCUGGACCGAUAUUGACACUGAUGAGCGAAAGCCAGGGGAGCAAACGGGAUUAGAUACCCCGGUAGUCCUGGCCCUAAACGAUGAAUGCUUGGUGUGACGGGUAUCGAUCCCUGUCGUGCCGAAGCUAACGCAUUAAGCAUUCCGCCUGGGGAGU